rnacentral:rRNA from 1 species
CACGUAGGGUGCGAGCGUUGUCCGGAAUUAUUGGGCGUAAAGAGCUCGUAGGCGGUGUGUCGCGUCGGCCGUGAAAACCUGCAGCUUAACUGUGGGCUUGCGGUCGAUACGGGCAUCACUGGAGUUCGGCAGGGGAGACUGGAAUUCCUGGUGUAGCGGUGAAAUGCGCAGAUAUCAGGAGGAACACCGGUGGCGAAGGCGGCAUCCUGGACCGGCAUUGACGCUGAUGAGCGAAAGCUAGGGGGAGCAAACGGGG